GAUUAACGCUGGCGGCAUGCCUAACACAUGCAAGUCGAACGAGAUCUUCGGAUCUAGUGGCAGACGGGUGAGGAACACGUGGGAACAUCCCUUUCAGUUCGGAAUAACGUUGGGAAACUAACGCUAAUACCGGAUACGUCCUUCGGGAGAAAGAUUUAUCGCUGAAAGAUUGGCCCGCGUCUGAUUAGCUAGUUGGUGAGGUAACGGCUCACCAAGGCUACGAUCAGUAGCCGAUCUGAGAGGAUGAUCAGCCACAUUGGGACUGAGACACGGCCCAAACUCCUACGGGAGGCAGCAGUGGGGAAUAUUGGACAAUGGGCGCAAGCCUGAUCCAGCCAUGCCGCGUGAGUGAUGACGGCCUUCGGGUUGUAAAGCUCUUUUGUCCGGGAAGAUAAUGACUGUACCGGAAGAAUAAGCCCCGGCAAACUUCGUGCCAGCCGCCGCAGUAA
rnacentral:rRNA from 1 species